rnacentral:rRNA from 1 species
GAUGAACGCUGGCGGCGUGCCUAAUACAUGCAAGUCGAGCGAACAGACGAGGAGCUUGCUCCUCUGACGUUAGCGGCGGACGGGUGAGUAACACGUGGAUAACCUACCUAUAAGACUGGGAUAACUUCGGGAAACCGGAGCUAAUACCGGAUAAUAUAUUGAACCGCAUGGUUCAAUAGUGAAAGACGGUUUUGCUGUCACUUAUAGAUGGAUCCGCGCCGCAUUAGCUAGUUGGUAAGGUAACGGCUUAUCAAGGCAACGAUGCGUGGCCGACCUGAGAGGGUGAUCGGCCACACUGGAACUGAGACACGGUCCAGACUCCUACGGGAGGCAGCAGUAGGGAAUCUUCCGCAAUGGGCGAAAGCCUGACGGAGCAACGCCGCGUGAGUGAUGAAGGUCUUCGGAUCGUAAAACUCUGUUAUUAGGGAAGAACAAAUGUGUAAGUAACUAUGCACGUCUUGACGGUACCUAAUCAGAAAGCCACGGCUAACUACGUG